CGAGACUCUGUCUCAAUAAACAAAACAAAACAAAGAGCUUUAGAACAGUAAGGAAAGGAAGGAGAAGAAAAGUACAAUGUGGAAGAAGGCCAAGUGGUUGACCUGAGAAACCGAGUGCGCAGCUUGGCCUCUUGACUUGGGGUUUGAUACCUUGGCAUACUUCCAGGAUCUUGGAAGUAAGCUGCUUCCCACUCCGGAGAUCUUACUGGGAAGCUGCUGAUCAGUUGCAGGUGUUUUCUAUUAGGAGACUGCCUUUCCCCCGUACUGGCUGUGACCAAUUACUAAACAGAAACAGUUAACAACCACUUGACCACCACCUGAUGGUCACCCAGCACUCCUAGUGUGUGUGUGUGUGUGUGUGUGUGUGUGUGUGUGUGUGUGUGUGUGUGUGUGUGUUGGGGGGAAGUCCUUUCCUGCCCUGCUCAUACCUAACUAGCUACCUACUGUAAUAAAGCUACCAUUCAGGAACCAAGACAAAAAGGAAAAAAAUACAUUUAACAUUUACAGGUAAAUAAAAGCUGAGAAUGAGCCAAAGAAACUCCCGAAGGAUGUACCUCAAGAAGGAAGAUGAUUCCAGGUCAGCCUAAGAUGCAAGAAGAAGGAAUGAUACCUUAAAGCAAAUGAGAAGACAAGCUAAAUCUGGGAGGAGACAUAUACACAUAUACAUGCAUAAUCAGGAUUGGUAUCAAAAACCCCUAUGAACUAGCAAGAAAAGGAAAAAUGUGCAAAAAAGCCAUGAACCAGCAUUUCACCAAAGAUGAAACAGCUAUGGCCAAAAAUUAUGACAAGAUGCUUAAUUAAGCCCACUGGCUAUUAGGCACGUGGAAGUCAAGACCACAACGAGACAUCAUCUUUCACGCAUUUGAUGGGUAAACAUUAUGAUGUCUGACACUGCUAAAUGUUGGCGAGGACGUGGAUCAACAGGAACUCUCAAAAUUGCUGGCAAAGGAGGGGGCACUGUUUCUAAGAAGAGUGAUGAUACCACCGUAUUUUUGAAAAAUGAUGAAACAGCGUGGGGGAAACUGCUAUGUCUUCCAUAUUCAGGCUUUUUCUUCUCCAAGCCCAUUUCCUCCCUAGCAAUGAUAAGAGGAAACACUCCCGGUGAGUCAGAUGCUCUCUAAAUAUUUUUGCUCAUUGAAUGUUGACACCAGCCCUGUGUUUAGUAUCAUACUGGGAACACGCAUGAGGAGCUGAAGCACAGACAGGUUAAGUGGCUCGCCCAGGGUCAUACAGCUACUCAGUGCUGGAGCCGAGAUCACACCAGGCUCUGCUUCCCCACCAGAACCAUGAGAGGUUGGGAGUGACCCUACUGGACAGGGAUAUCUGAGGUGGGAGGGGCUGUGUGUGUGUUCAUGCUGAGGCCGGCAUGCUUAGAACAUCAACCUCAAUUUUCCUCCCCACAGGGUCUGGCGGGGAGGCAGGGAGCAAGGUCGUUAAGGGUGGGCAGGGUGAGGGGGAGAUUCCCUGACAGCCUGGGUUCUGCCCCUCACUUGCUACAGCCCCAUGCAAGCCUCUUGGCCUCUCUGAGGCUCUGUAUUCUCACCUGUCAAAUGGGGGUUGUCCUGGGUGUUACUUCAAAGGCUGAUGAGAAAGGAGUGAGUGGGCUGGCUCGCAGCCUGGCGUGACAAGCAAUGCAUAAAUGUAUGCCGUAUGAGUCACCUGUCCACAGUGGCCCCAGCAGCUCUCUCUAGCAGGGCUUGGCCAAGACUAGGCCCUCAGAGUGUAAGAAAACUCCUGGUUUGGUGCCUAGCACACUAUAGAUGUGGCAAACUGUGUCCAAGAACGUUUUGAUGGGAGCCUGCCUGGAUGACAGAAGAUCAGAGUGUGCUGGAAUGUCCCACCCUUUCCAGCUUCCCGCAGCCAAGCCAGGCUCUGGGGUGAUCAUUCCCAUAGCAACCACCAGGGGUCAGGGCUGGCCACUUCUGCCUUCUUCCCUCAUCCUAGCGCCUGUGGGUGGCGAUGACAUCCCUGCCAUCUAUGAGGUGGAGCAUUUCCAACAAGAGCAGGUCUGAGGCCCUGGCUUGACUUUCCCAGUCCUGUUAAAGAAGAACAUUGGGAUACCCAACUGUUCUAGCACCAUUUAUUGAAAAGUCAACUCUUCCUUCAAUAUUCAGAAAUGUCACCUCUGUCAUAAACCAGGCAGCCACAUGUGUAUUAGACUGCUGAGUCUUGCCCUGUUGCCCAGGCUGGAGUGCAA
rnacentral:lncRNA from 1 species